UACGUAGGGGGCAAGCGUUGUCCGGAAUCAUUGGGCGUAAAGAGCGUGUAGGCGGCCAGAUAAGUCCGCUGUGAAAUCUCGAGGCUCAACUUCGAGCUGUCGGUGGAAACUGUCUGGCUAGAGUCCGGAAGAGGAGAAUGGAAUUCCUGGUGUAGCGGUGGAAUGCGCAGAUAUCAGGAGGAACACCUAUAGCGAAGGCAGCUCGCUGGUACGACACUGACGCUGAGGCGCGAAAGCGUGGGGAGCGAACAGG
rnacentral:rRNA from 1 species